CAUUAAUUAAGUGGUGUGUGGUUGUGUUUGGGCAGUCGAGCAAGAAGCAGAACAUACCUACCCCACCAUGCCGAUUCUCGCCAUGGAUGGCAUGGAUUUCUUCUUCGAGGAAUCUAGAGCAGGACUCGUAUCGUGUUUCGGUGCCGGGGUUGUCUUAAGAGAUCUAGUUGCCGGCGCACACCUGGCUGAGGGUAACACGAGUGGAACUGGCGAUGCGGAGGAGGACCUAAUUUCUUCUGUGCAGAUAGGACCAGCUGGAAGCCGCAUGGAUUACGAAGGGGACGAGAAUAUUGGUGAAACAUUAAUUGCGCACUAGGAGGGAGGGAGGGGGUGCGGCUCGUAUGAUCUUGGCGGCGAAGGGAUGAGUGAUUCAUGCGAGAUAGGUGAUUCAAAUAUUGCGUCUGAUGCCGCGGAACAGGAUGCAGACGAGGAGGGCGAGGGAGUAACCAAUGCAAAUCAAUCUUCUUGGACCAGGAGGGUCAAAGUUGGGAAGGCAGCGGAUGAGAGGGAACCGAGCCCUUCAAGGAUGCCUGCCCUUGAAGCUUGUGUCCGUGCAUAUGUCGAUAAAAUAUCAGGAAAUGUUGUCAAUCCAUCGAUUGGGACUAAUUUUGAUUCUGUUGAAGAAGGCUACGAGUUCUACAAUAUGUAUUCCUCGGAGGUUGGUUUUGGUGUCCGCUAUGCCAAAAGCCAUCUGAAUGUACACCGGAAAACAUCCCAAUUGAGGUA